rnacentral:rRNA from 1 species
UACGUAGGGGGCUAGCGUUGUCCGGAAUCAUUGGGCGUAAAGCGCGUGUAGGCGGCCCGGUAAGUCCGCUGUGAAAGUCGGGGGGCUCAACCCUCGGAUGCCGAUCGAUACUGUCGGGCUAGAGUCCGGAAGAGGCGAGUGGAAUUCCUGGUGUAGCGGUGAAAUGCGUAGAUAUUGGGAGGAACACCAGUGGCGAAGGCGGCUCACUGGACGUUGUGUACGCUGAGGCUGCGAAAGCGUGGGGAGCAAACGG